CAGUGGAUCAUCCGGGUAACUUUGGGGAACUCCUAAACUACGAUUUGUUUGCACAUUUUGGACGCAGCAUCGGACAUUCUCCUGUGGUUUCUCAUAGCUGCAGAAUGAAGACUCCAUUAUUAUUGUUAGUGUGUGUGGUGAUGUUGUGCUCGCUGCCUGAUUCCUCAUCUGGUCAAGAAUCUAUUGAUGCUGGAAACAGUAUCUGCUGCUUUGGUAACAGUAACAGCAGAAUUCCUCUGAAACGACUGAAGUAUUUUUACUGGACAAGCAGCCACUGCCCCUUCAAACACAUUGUGUUUGUUACAAUAGCAAAGAGACAUAUCUGUAUGAAUCUAGACAAUGAAUGGGUCCAGAAGGUCAUAAGCAUGAAAUCAGUUUCGGGCUCACCAGUAUGAAACUUGGAAGAUAUUUUCUGCACUUACUUGGAUACACACCCCAUACAUAUGACCAUUUGUAAAAUAAAGCUGCAAAAUAGUAUCUCAACAUUUCAGAGUGUUGUUAUUGUAAUGUAUUGCAUGUAUUAUUAUUCUGUAUUAUUCAAAUGUGUUGAUCUUGUUUAUGUGUCAAUAAAUGUUCAUGAUCUCAUGCAAA